rnacentral:rRNA from 1 species
UGGGGAAUAUUGCACAAUGGAGGGAACUCUGAUGCAGCGACGCCGCGUGAACGAAGAAGGCUUUCGAGUCGUAAAGUUCUUUUAUAUGGGAAGAUAAUGACGGUACCAUAAGAAGAAGCCCCGGCUAACUACGUGCCAGCAGCCGCGGUAAUACGUAGGGGGCUAGCGUUGUCCGGAAUCACUGGGCGUAAAGGGUUCGCAGGCGGCAAUGAAAGUCAUGUGUAAAAGGCAGUAGCUUAACUACUGUAAGCAUUUGAAACUGCAUAUCUUGAGAAGAGUAGAGGUAAGUGUAAUUUUUAGUGUAGCGGUGAAAUACGUAGAUAUUAAAAAGAAUACCGGUGGCGAAGGCGACUUACUGGGCUCAUUCUGACGCUGAGGAACGAAAGCGUGGGUAGCAAACAGG